GGUUCGAUGGCGUAGUUGGUUAUCGCAUCUGUCUUACACUAUGUUCACAGAAGGUCCUCAGUUCGAGCCUGGGUCGAAUCA